rnacentral:ncRNA from 1 species
UGUUGUUGCCAUGGUAAUCCUGCUCAGUACGAGAGGAACCGCAGGUUCAGACAUUUGGUGUAUGUGCUUGGCUGAGGAGCCAAUGGGGCGAAGCUACCAUCUGUGGGAUUAUGACUGAACGCCUCUAAGUCAGAAUCCCGCCCAGGCGGAACGAUACGGCAGCGCCGAAGGAGCCUCGGUUGGCCUCGGAUAGCCGGUCCCCCGCUCGUCCCCGCCGGCCCGGCCCGGGGCCCGGCCCUCGCGUCCGCGCGGGGUCGUCGCCCCACCACCGCGCGUCGGGACCGGGGUCCGGUGCGGAGAGCCUCUCGUCCCGGGAAACGGGGUGCGGCCGGAAAGGGCGCCGCCCCCACGCCCGUCGCGCAACGCACGUUCGUGUGGAACCUGGCGCUAAACCAUUCGUAGACGACCUGCUUCUGGGUCGGGGUUUCGUACGUAGCAGAGCAGCUCCCUCGCUGCGAUCUAUUGAAAGUCAGCCCUCGACACAAGGGUUUGU